UACGUAGGGUGCAAGCGUUGUCCGGAAUUACUGGGCGUAAAGGGCCAGUAGGCGGCCAACUAAGUCCGACGUGAAAUCCCAAGGCUUAACCUUGGAACUGCGUCGGAUACUGGAUGGCUUGAAUCCGGGAGAGGGAUGUGGAAUUCCAGGUGUAGCGGUGAAAUGCGUAGAUAUCUGGAGGAACACCGGUGGCGAAGGCGGCAUCCUGGACCGGUAUUGACGCUGAGGCGCGAAAGCCAGGGGAGCAAACGGG
rnacentral:rRNA from 1 species